ACAGGAGUUUCUUACCCCCAUUCCAUGGAUUUACAGUGCCAGGACAUAAAUAUUGGCAACCCCCACCACAAUCAUGGUGCCUUUUGGGGCAGAAAAGUGGUGGGUGUUGCCAAUACUUAUGGUCUAGUACAGUAUAUGGCGCUCCCACUGUCGACCGGCAAGGAUCUUCAGUUCUGAAUCUCGUUUUUUGUAGCUCAUGAGCGAGCAAUGCACUGACUCGACUAUAUAGCUGAGAUACCAAAUUAGGAUUCGAAUAUUUCGGACUGUGGGGUACUUGGGUAUACACCCAUUGGCAUUCUGAAGGACGCCUAUCAAUACCGAGGG
rnacentral:sRNA from 2 species